rnacentral:rRNA from 1 species
GACGAACGCUGGCGGCGUGCUUAACACAUGCAAGUCGAACGAAGUGGCGAAUGGGUGAGUAACGCGUAAUCAACCUGCCCUUCAGAGGGGGACAACAGUUGGAAACGACUGCUAAUACCGCAUACGGAAGGAGGGGAGUGCGGCUGAUUAGCUAGUUGGAGGGGUAACGGCCCACCAAGGCGAGGAUCAGUAGCCUGUGUGCGAGGAGGGACGGCGCAACUGGGAAGGAGACACGGCCCAGAACUCCAAGGGAGGUAGCAGUUGGGAAUCUUCCGAAAUGGACGAAAGUCUGACGGAGAAAAGCCGAGUGAGGGAUGAAGGACUUCGGGUUGUAAAGCUAUGUUAAUCGGGACGCGGUACCGGAAUAGAAAGCAACGGCUAACUACGUGCCAGCAGCCGCGGUAAUAC